rnacentral:rRNA from 1 species
AUUGAACGCUGGCGGCAGGCCUAACACAUGCAAGUCGAACGAGUGGCGGACGGGUGAGUAAUGUCUGGGAAACUGCCCGAUGGAGGGGGAUAACUACUGGAAACGGUAGCUAAUACCGCAUACCAUCGGAUGUGCCCAGAUGGGCUUAGCUAGUAGGUGGGGUAACGGCUCACCUAGGCGACGCUCCCUAGCUGGUCUGAGAGGAUGACCAGCCACACUGGAACUGAGACACGGUCCAGACUCCUAGGGGAGGCAGCAGUGGGGAAUAUUGCACAAUGGGCGCAAGCCGGAUGCAGCAAUGCCGCGGGUAUGAAGAAGGCCUUCGGGUUGUAAGGUACUUUCAGCGGGGAGGCGGUACCCGCAGAAGAAGCACCGGCUAACUCCGUGCCAGCAGCCGCGGUAAUUC